rnacentral:lncRNA from 1 species
GCAGCUCCUGUUGCUCAGCCUUCCCUAAGCUGUGCACCACCCUCUCACCCAAACGAAGGCAGCUGGCCCUGAAGUUCUCUGAGCUUGAGGACAAAAAAAGACCUCUGUGAGUUGUCAGGCUCUGUUACAGUCUGGGUCAGCAGACAAGAGUCCCAGGGCUCGGCCGUCUUCUCUAGGAGAGAAAAUAUUCGUGCCAUAUAGCGUGUUCUAAGAGUUCUCACCAGAAGCCCAGAAAGUUCUGUAUUUACUCAGCAUUCAAGGGAAAACAGACCCUGUAUUUUUGGGAUUCCUGAAAGGUGACCAGAGGAAUAUCCACAGAAGCAGAAGUAGGAAUGGGGAAGGAGGGGACAAGUUUAGACCAAGCUCUUCUGUGACCUCACUUCUGCUUUUGAAGUCCCACAGCUCUAUAAGGCCAGGGUCAAAGGAACCUAAUGUGAAAAUGUUUCAGUCUUUUGAUGAAGUAUUCCAGAACACAGAACUCCUUAUCAUACAGAACAUCAAGUUCCUUUAAGAUAUGGGUUGCUAUCUCCAAUUCAUUUUGGGAAGAGUGUUCUGAGAUCUUGUUACUGGUGGCGAAUCCAUACAGGUCUGCAGCAACCUCAAUUCUUGCCUCUUCAGAACACAGAAUUCAACCAAGGGACCUAAGGCAGAAGGAGAGACCAAGGCAAGUUUAGAGCUGGAGUGAAAAUUUCUUGAAAAGUUUUAGGAUAGGAGUGAAAGGAAGUUAAG